rnacentral:rRNA from 1 species
GAAAGCGUAAUAGCUCACUAGUCGAGUCGGCCUGCGCGGAAGAUGUAACGGGGCUCAAACCAUGCACCGAAGCUACGGGUAUCACCUUUUGGUGAUGCGGUAGAGGAGCGUUCUGUAAGCCUGUGAAGGUGAGUUGAGAAGCUUGCUGGAGGUAUCAGAAGUGCGAAUGCUGACAUGAGUAACGACAAUGCGAGUGAAAAACUCGCACGCCGAAAGACCAAGGUUUCCUGCGCAACGUUAAUCGACGCAGGGUUAGUCGGUCCCUAAGGCGAGGCUGAAAAG